AAUGGCUGCAGUAAUUUGACUGUACAAAGGUAGCAUAAUCAUUAGUUUUUUAAUUUAAAGCUUGUAUGAAAGGUUGGACGAAAUAAAAUCUGUCUCUUUUUAAUAGUAUAUUAGAAUUUAAUUUUUAAGUUAAAAAGCUUAAAUUUUUAUAAAAGACGAGAAGACCCUAUAGAGUUUUAUAAUUUUUUUAAAGUAAUUAAUUUGGGUUUAUUAAUUUUAUUUUCAAAAAAUUAUUUUAUUGGGGUAAUAGAAAGAUUUAAUAAAUUCUUUUUUUAAAAAAUCAUUAAUAUAUGAAAAUUUUAUGAUCCAUUAAAUUUUGAAUAUAAGAUUAAAUUACCUUAGGGAUAACAGCGUAAUUUUUUUUAAGAGUUCAUAUCGAUAAAAAAGUUUGCGACCUCGAUGUUGGAUUAAAGAUUAAUUUAGGGGUAGAAGUUUAAAUUUUUGGUCUGUUCGACCAUUAAAUCUUUACAUGAUCUGAGUUCAAACCGGUGUAAGCCAGGUCGGUUUCU
rnacentral:rRNA from 1 species